AAUCUCUCUCUCCCGGCUCCGUUAUCCCGAGGAAUCUCUCUCUCCCGGCUCCGUUAUCCCGGGGAUCCCUCGCUCCGGCUCCGUUAUCCCGGGGAUCCCUCGCUCCGGCUCCGUUAUCCCGGGGAUCCCUCGCUCCGGCUCCGUUAUCCCAGCCCGGUCCCGGCUUUCCGGGAGCUCUCCUUAAUCCGGGCUCAGCCGGGCGGGCGAUGCGUGCCCGGCCCUGACCCGGCCCGGCCGGGAUCCGCUCGGGAGCUGCCCCGGGAGCGCCGCCGGGAGGAUCCAAAAAUCCCUGGAAAACCGCGCCGAGGCUGCCGCUGGAACUUGGAGAAUCAUCCAGUGGUUCAGUGCUGAGGGAAUUCUGUGGGAGCAUGGCUGGAGCAGGACACGGGGUCAGGGCGCGGAAUGCAGGCAGUGAUGCGGGCUGCUCCUCCCUGCCUGCCCGGUGGAUCGGCGCCCGGGGGCUGUGACCCCGCCGUGCUGCCUGGCCAUGAGGAGGUUUGGCUACUGCCGGCUGGUGUUGGCCACCUCGCUGCUCUGGCUGCUGCUGGACGUGUUCCUGCUGCUCUACUUCAGCGAGUGCAACAAGUGCGAGGACAGCAAGGAGCGCUCGCUGCUGCCCGCGCUGCGCGGUGAGUGCCGGCGCCUCCGCGGGGUCCAGCACGGCUCUGGGGCUUGGAUCCUCCUUGGCUC